UCGUCUAGUCUCUAGUCAAUUCGCGCCGAUCGUUAUAGUGUGUAAUAUGGCCGCUUGGGGGUAAGUUUGUGCAACUAUUACGACAUUGUGAAAACUGGAAUUUUGCAUUUCGAAACGCCAUGGCCAAUAGCACCUACCGUAUCAAAUCAAAUCAAAUGCAUUUCGAAAUUGCUCAAAGUUAACGAUAAGCGAUAGCUAUUGAAGUCGAUUCCGGGAAGUUUGACUGUUCUAGUCUCGCACUUCAAGGAACACAUCAAACAAGAAGGAUUGCGAACAGUGGCUAACCUGUCAGGAGA